rnacentral:rRNA from 1 species
CUGCCCGGUAGCUAAAUGCGGAAGAGAUAAGUGCUGAAAGCAUCUAAGCACGAAACUUGCCCCGAGAUGAGUUCUCCCUGAGACUUUAAGUCUCCUGAAGGAACGUUGAAGACGACGACGUUGAUAGGCCGGGUGUGUAAGCGCAGCGAUGCGUUGAGCUAACCGGUACUAAUGAACCGUGAGGCUUAACCUUACAACGCCGAAG